rnacentral:rRNA from 1 species
GACGAACGCUGGCGGCGUGCUUAACACAUGCAAGUCGAACGGAAAGACCAGGCUUUUGUGGGGUGCUCGAUUGGCGAGCGGGUGAGUAAAACAUGAGUAACCUGCCCUUGACUUUGGGAUAACUUCUGGGAACUGGGGCUAAUACCGGAUAUAAGCUCCUGAUGCAUGGUGGGGGUUGGAAAGAUUCGGCGGUUCUGGAUGGACUCGCGGCUUAUCAGCUUGAUUGGGUGGUAGUUGCUUACAAGGGCUUUGACGGGUAGCCGGCCUUAGAGGGUUACCGGCCACCUGGGGACUGCGAGACGGACCAGUCGCCUACGUGAGGCAGUAGUGGGGAACAUGACACAAUGGGCGGAAGUGUGAGGCAGCAGCGUCGCGUUCGUAAUGACGUCUUUCGGGUUGUAAACAACUUUCGAAGGUGACGUAGCGUUAGUGACGGUAAUGGGUAAAAAAGCACCGGCUAACUACGUG